UACGUAGGGUGCAAGCGUUUAAUCGGAAUUACUGGGCGUAAAGCGUGCGCAGGCGGUUUUGUAAGUCUGUCGUGAAAUCCCCGGGCUCAACCUGGGAAUUGCGAUGGAGACUGCAAGGCUAGAAUCUGGCAGAGGGGGGUAGAAUUCCACGUGUGAGCAGUGAAAUGCGUAGAGAUGUGGAGGAACACCGAUGGCGAAGGCAGCCCCCUGGGUCAAGAUUGACGCUCAUGCACGAAAGCGUGGGGGAGCAAACAGG
rnacentral:rRNA from 1 species